CUGUCUCCUGGGGCCAUCCCUGGGGACGAGCUCCCCCCACCCCCACCCCCACGCUUGGUCCUUGGUGCUGUAUGACUUUCUGGCUGGGGAUGUAAAUUGCUGAGUAGCCCACAAGAGAUCUGAACCUGAGAUGACCGAAGGAAUCCUAGCACUGAGAACAAAACCCAAGUUCUGGGGUUGGCAUGCUUUGUUUUCCCACUAGGGAACAGUUAGUGAACAAGACUAAACUGGAUCUUCUGACUGAGUCGGGAGGAAGAGGGCCUCUGCAAGGUGCCAAUGUGGACAACUAAAUCUACUUAAAACCUGAGAGAGUUUGGAAAGUAAUUCUAGACACAAAAGAACAGAGGUUAAAACAUAGGUGGGAGGAGUAAACAGAACAGGAUGCUGGAAGGAAGAGGAAGUGAGCUCAGACUCGACAGCUCUGCUCUCUGGAGCAGAGGCCCUGCUUCGCUCUCCUGGGCACGUGAUGAAGCUCUGACCCAGGAUGUACAUAGGCUAGAAUCUUCCCGGUAAGUGCACCUUGGGGUACUUACACACAUUAUUAGAAAUGGGCUAGUCCAGGUGCGAGAGUUAGCUGAGAAGAGGCUAGAUAUAAUGGACAAGCAGUGUUUAAAAGAAUACAGUGUCCAUGUAAUUAUUUUGGGCAUAAGCUAGCAGGCGGCCAGGGUGCUGGGGACACAGCCCCGCCACUCCUAUUUCAACAUACAGUGUCAUUAAAAAUAUAUUUAGUCUUGGGAGAGAAAAGAAAAAGUAUAAAGUCCUUAAAAUAAAAAAGAAAGAAAGAUAGUAGUUGGGUGUGGUGGCACACACCUUUAAUCCCAACACUUGGGAGGCAGAGGCAGGUAGAUCGCUAUAAGUUCAAGGAAAACCUGGCCUACAGAGUGAGUGCCAGGACAGCCAAAGAAACACAGAAAAACCUAGUCUCAUAAACCAAAAAUUAAAAAUAAAAAUAUAGAGUUUAAAAUAAAGCCACAUAAAGAUGGAAAAUACACAGAGAGUCUGGAUACUGCAUGUUAUUGUGUUAUCUUUGAAUUGUUUGAUGGCUUAGGAAAGAGCAACAGCUGAUAAAAGACAUUUGAUUAUAAAUGCUGCUUGGAUUAUAAUUCAAGAUAGGUACUUUGACAAUGCCUUGACUUCAAAAUUGAAGUCAAAAGAUAUGUUACUUUGGAGAAGAGGUUUUGCUUUUGUUUACAUAGGAAAUGAGAGGCUGUGGAUUCAUUCUGGGUUAAGAAAAAUCCGGUUUGAUUAAGGAAGACCCCCUGAGAAAUCUCUGAGAGAAGCAGAUGGCCGAGAUGUCUGACUUCUACAUCCAGGACAGUUUCAAGACUGCUGGCUGAGAUGAUCAAGCCUCACAGAAUACUCCAGUCAGGACUUGAUCAUAAUUUUAAAUUUUCUUUAGGUCCCAUAAGAUUGUCAGUGCCCCCAAUCAGCAAGAAGUAGCCUGGAAAACUAUGCCCACAUUCCCAAAGAAGGAUUAUGGAUGUUUUUCUUUGUUUAGAGUGUUGGUUACAAGUUGUUAUCGAUAAUGGUCAGGAAGAAAGCUAAACAGAGGAGAUUAGAUUCAGAAUUCUUGUUUUGAAAAAGAAAGGGGGGAAGUGCUGUGGGACAAUGAUUUUAUACCCUUUAAAGAUUUGCCAAUUGUAUUGUUUUAAUGUAAUUUAAUUUAAUAAAAUGUUGAUUGGCCAGUAGCUAGGCAGGGAGUAGAGGUGGGGCAACUAGAACAGGAAAAUUCUGGGCAGAAGAUAGGAGAGUCUGCAGUCAUUACCCAAAUGCAGAGAAAGCAAGAUGAGAAUGCCUCAUUGAUAAAGGUACCAAGCCACAUGGCUAACACAGACAAGAAUUAUGGGCUAAUUUAAGAUGUAAGAAUUAAUUUAUAAGAAGCCUGAGCUAAUAGGCCAACUGGUUUAUAAUUAAUGUAGACCUCUGUAUAUUUCUUUGGGACUGAACGACUGUGGGACCAGGUGGGACAGAAACGUCCGUGAACACAAAACAAACAUUUUAUCAACUGAUCUAUCUCUUUAGCCCAUCCCAGAAAAUUCUUAGAUCUGAUAAACACCUUGAGCCAAGUGGCAAGAUACCAAAUUAACACAGCAAGUCAGUAGCUUUCUCACAUACAGAAAACAAACGUGCUAAGAACAAAAUCAGGGGGAAAUCUUAUUCACAAGUUCCUAAAAUCGACUUUAGAGUAAACCUAAUGGAGUAAGGGAACAAUCUCUACAACAAAUGCUCCCCAACACUGAGGAAAGAAAUUGAUAGUCUUCAGUCAGAAGAUGGGAAACCUUCCACACAUGAACAGGAUGAAUGGAUACUGUGAGACAAUCUAUCCUCCUGGAUGCAGUCAUCAGAUUCACUAAAAGAAGGGGAAGGAUAAAAAAGGAGAGUAUAGGGUAUGGGUGGGGCAGUGUGAGCAUACAGUGCAUAUACUAUGUGAGAUCAUCCUCUUAUAACUCAGUGCUAGGUCCAAAGACUAUAGAAAAUGGAAGAAUUUUAAAUAAAUUUGGCUGCAGGAGUUUUGAGAUUAUAGCCAUCUGUAUCAGAAUCCCCAGAGGACUGGC